GGAACCGUAGCUCAGUUGGUUAGAGCGCCACAUUGACAUUGUGGAGGUCAGUGGUUCGAGUCCACCCGGUUCCA
rnacentral:tRNA from 1 species